rnacentral:misc_RNA from 1 species
AGAUGACAUACCUCCUAUGCAGGUAAUUUCAUUUGGGUUCCUCUUCCUUUCACUCUUGAUUAUAUUAGUUUUAAACUUCUCAUUUCUAAUGUCUUGCUAACUUGAUUGGCUAAUCUUUAAUCUGAGGGAGAGGAUUUUGUGCUAGAACUAUAUCUUGGAAUUCCUUUUAUAUACGUUAUUGUUGACAAGUCACAGCAGUUAUGAUAUAACAAAGGUUUCUUGAAUUUUGGGAGCAGGAACUCGCAUAUGAC